rnacentral:rRNA from 1 species
CCGCCCAAGAGUUCAUAUCGACGGCGGUGUUUGGCACCUCGAUGUCGGCUCAUCACAUCCUGGGGCUGCAAGUAGGUCCCAAGGGUAUGGCUGUUCGCCAUUUAAAGUGGUACGCGAGCUGGGUUUAGGAACGUCGUGAGACAGUUCGGUCCCUAUCUGCCGUGGGCGCUGGAGAACUGAGGGGGGCUGCUCCUAGUACGAGAGGACCGGAGUGGACGCAUCACUGGUGUUCGGGUUGUCAUGCCAAUGGCACUGCCCGGUAGCUAAAUGCGGAAGAGAUAAGUGCUGAAAGCAUCUAAGCACGAAACUUGCCCCGAGAUGAGUUCUCCCUGAGACUUUAGGUCUCCUGAAGGAACGUUGAAGACGACGACGUUGAUAGGCCGGGUGUGUAAGCGCAGCGAUGCGUUGAGCUAACCGGUACUAAUGAACCGUGAGGCUUAACCUUACAACGCCGAAG